GAUGAACGCUGGCGGCGUGCCUAAUACAUGCAAGUCGAGCGAACGGACGAGAAGCUUGCUUUUCUGAUGUUAGCGGCGGACGGGUGAGUAACACGUGGAUAACCUACCUAUAAGACUGGGAUAACUUCGGGAAACCGGAGCUAAUACCGGAUAAUAUUUUGAACCGCAUGGUUCAAAAGUGAAAGACGGUCUUGCUGUCACUUAUAGAUGGAUCCGCGCUGCAUUAGCUAGUUGGUAAGGUAACGGCUUACCAAGGCAACGAUGCAUAGCCGACCUGAGAGGGUGGUCGGCCACCCUGGAACUGAGACACGGUCCCGACCCCCACGGGAGGCAGCAGUAGGGAAUCUUCCGCAAUGGGCGAAAGCCUGACGGAGCAACGCCGCGUGAGUGAUGAAGGUCUUCGGAUCGUAAAACUCUGUUAUUAGGGAAGAACAUAUGUGUAAGUAACUGUGCACAUCUUGACGGUACCUAAUCAGAAAGCCACGGCUAACUACGUG
rnacentral:rRNA from 1 species